rnacentral:rRNA from 1 species
AUACAGAGGGCUCGAGCGUUGAUCGGAAUCAUUGGGCUUAAAGGGUACGUAGGCGGGCUUGAAAGUAUCUUGUGAAAUCCCACGGCUCAACCGUGGAACUGCGAGGUAAACUUCAAGUCUUGAGAUCGGUAGAGGUUGUCGGAACAAUAGGUGGAGCGGUGAAAUGCGUAGAUAUCUAUUGGAACGCCAAAGGAGAAGUCAGACAACUGGGCCGAAUCUGACGCUGAGGUACGAAAGCGUGGGUAGCGAACGGGAUUAGAAACCCUAGUAGUCC